rnacentral:rRNA from 1 species
GACGUAGGAGGCGAGCGUUGUCCGGAUUCAUUGGGCGUAAAGAGCACGCAGGCGGUUUGGCAAGUCGGAUGUGAAAACCCGAAGCUCAACUUCGGGCCUGCAUCCGAAACUGCCCGACUAGAGGUAGGUAGGGGAGAUCGGAAUUCCUGGUGUAGCGGUGAAAUGCGCAGAAUAUCAGGAGGAACACCGGUGGCGAAGGCGGAUCUCGUGGGCCUUAGCCUGACGCUCGAGGUGCGAAAGCUAGGGAGCGAACAGG